rnacentral:rRNA from 1 species
GGAUGAACGCUGGCGGCGUGCCUAAUACAUGCAAGUCGAACGGAGACAGUAGCAAUAUUGUCUUAGUGGCGAACGGGUGAGUAACGCGUUGGUGACCUGCCUCAGAGAGAGGGAUAACAGUUCGAAAGGACUGCUAAAACCGCAUGAGCUUGCCGGGACUAGAAGCCGGUAAGGAAACAGCGAAAGCUGCUCUGAGAGGGGCCUGCGUCCCAUCAGCUAGUUGGCAGGGUAACAGCCUACCAAGGCGAUGACGGGUAGGGGACCUGAGAGGGUGACCCCCCACAAUGGAACUGAAACACGGUCCAUACACCUACGGGUGGCAGCAGUAGGGAAUAUUGGUGAAUGGGCGAAAGCCCGACCCAGCAACGCCGCGUGUGCGAAGAAGGCCUUCGGGUUGUAAAGCACUUUUUAGCGGGAAGAGGAAGGACGGUACCGCUAGAAUAAGUCUCGGCUAACUACGUGCCAGCAGCCGCGGUAACACGUAGGAGACGAGCGUUAUCCGGAUUUACUGGGUGUAAAGCGCGUGUAGGCGGUCGAGUAAGUUGGAUGUGAAAGCUCCCGGCUCAACUGGGAGAGGUCGUUCAAUACUGCUUGGCUAGAGGACAGCAGAGGGGAGUGGAAUUCCGAGUGUAGCGGUAAAAUGCAUAGAUAUUCGGAAGAACACCAGUGGCGAAGGCGGCUCUCUGGGCUGGUCCUGACGCUCAGACGCGAAAGCUAGGGUAGCAAACGGGAUUAGAGACCCCGGUAGUCCUAGCCGUAAACGAUGUGGACUUGGCGUUGGAGGGUUUAAAUCCUUCAGUGCCGCAGCAAACGCGAUAAGUCCACCACCUGGGGACUACGGCCGCAAGGUUAAACUCAAA